CCGGCUAAUCUCGUGCCAGCAGCCGCGGUAAUACGGGAGGGGCAAGCGUUAUUCGUAAUUACUGGGCGUACAGAGUCCGUAGAUUGUAAUAUAAGUUAUAUGUUAAAAUUUAAAGUUCAAUUUUAAAAAAAGAUACAAUACUGUUUUACUCGAGUUUAAUACGGAAAAGUGGAAUUUCAUGUUAAGGAGUAAAUUCCAAGAAUACAUGAAGGAACAUCGUUAGCGAAAGCAACUUUUUAGUAUAAACUGACAUUGAGGGACGAAAGUGUAAGGAGCAAACAGGAUUAGAUACCCUGGUAGUUUACACUGUAAAUUCUGAGUGCUGUAAUUUAAAAAAAAUUUUAGAUUUUUUAAGCUAACGCCAUAAGCACUCCGCCUGAGGAGUAUGAUCGCAAGAUUGGAACUCAAAGGAAUUGACGGGAGCCUACAACGAGUGGUGGAGCAUGUGGUUUAAUGCGAUAAUCCGCGCAAAACCUUACCAACCCUUGACAUAUUGAAGAAAAAUUUGAGUUGACACGAAUUUUUUUAUUAUUAAUUAACAAAUUAAUUAAUUUUCACUACAGGUGUUGCACGACUGUCGUCAGCUCGUGUCGUAAGAUGUUUGGUUCAUUCCUUUUAACGAGCGCAACUCUUAUUUUUAAGAAC
rnacentral:rRNA from 12 species